UACGAAGGGUGCAAGCGUUACUCGGAAUUACUGGGCGUAAAGCGUGCGUAGGUGGUUUGUUAAGUCUGAUGUGAAAGCCCUGGGCUCAACCUGGGAAUGGCAUUGGAUACUGGCGAGCUAGAGUGCGGUAGAGGGUAGUGGAAUUCCCGGUGUAGUGGUGGAAUGCGUAGAUAUCGGGAGGAAUACCAGUGGCGAAAGCGGCACCCUAGCGUUGUUCUGACGCUCAUGUGCGAAAGCGUGGGGAGCGAACGGG
rnacentral:rRNA from 1 species